UACGGAGGAUGCAAGCGUUAUCCGGAAUCAUUGGGUUUAAAGGGUCCGUAGGUGGACUUGUAAGUCAGAGGUGAAAUCCUGCAGCUUAACUGUAGAACUGCCUUUGAUACUGCUAGUCUUGAGUCAUUGUGAAGUGGUUAGAAUAUGUAGUGUAGCGGUGAAAUGCAUAGAUAUUACAUAGAAUACCGAUUGCGAAGGCAGAUCACUAACAAUGUACUGACACUGAUGGACGAAAGCGUGGGGAGCGAACGGG
rnacentral:rRNA from 1 species